UUUUUUACUUUAGGGUUCGUCCAUCUCAUGGCGGGGACGACGAGAGAUUUUAAGGUGCGUCUCCGCUCGAUUCUUCCGGGCGCUUGACGAUCGCUGCUUGAAAUGGCGCUGGAUCUUGACAUCGCUGCGAUCGCCGGGCAGCUGGAGCACCAGCGCGUGGAUGAUUUUAAGCGCUCCAAUGCGGCAGCGCUGUUCGAGGGCUUGCUGAUGGCUACUGCGAAUCAGCUCCAGCCGACGCAGCAAGAUUUCGAGGCCAGAGUAGAUAUUUUGCGGCGGCUGGAGUUUUUGAUAAGAGAAAUCGAUGUUUGCAAAGGCUUGGCAAUCAAACCUUUUGGAUCGUUCCUGUCAAACUUGUAUACGCCUUGGGGAGAUUUAGAUAUUACUUUGAUGCCGCUUGAGCCGGCACCGCUUUCCAGGAGCAAAAAGACCAAAAUUCUGAAGUCUAUCCAUGAUGCUCUACUUCAAGCUGGUGGAGCGAUUCGUGUCCAAGUUCUCUUUCGGCCUCGCGUGCCACUCUUGAUGUUUGAGGAUGCAUGGUGGAGAAUCUCAUGUGACAUCUCCGUGAGCAAUACCGACGCUGUUUUCAAGUCACACGCCCUGGGCCUGAUUGUUGGUAUGGAUUUAAGGUGCAGGCAGCUCAUCUUCCUCGUGAGUGUUAAGUGCUGGGCCAAAGCGCAGUGCAUUAACGAUCCAAAGAUGGGGACAUUGAACUCGUAUGCACUGUCUUUACUCGUUAUAUUUCAUCUCCAAACUCGAAAUCCGCCUAUUUUGCCACCAUUGAGCGCUAUCAUCGGUCAAGGCGGUGCCUCAGCUGAUGGGUUUCAUUAUCUAAACAGGAUCGCAGAGUUCACAGAAAGAGGUUUUGGGAAGGGAAACACGAGCUCAGUUGCAGAGUUGUUCGUGUCAUUUUUUGGCCAGUUUUCGGCUGUUGAGGAGUUGUGGAUUCAAGGUCUAGCUGUGUGUACUUUCCGUGGACAGUGGGGGGACAAAACGACCACCGAUCCGGCAUGGGCAAGCAAGAAUUAUGCGCUGCUGGUGGAAGACCCGUUUGAUUUAUCUGAAAACUGUUCAAGAUCCGUGCAUCAAGGCAGCCUUCAACAUGUUUGCAAGGCGUUCAGGCUGACUCACGAGCUACUGUGCGAUAAAUUCUCCUACUGGUUCUUGGGAAAACUGAAAGAAACGCUCUUCCGGUGGCCGCAUGCGAGUCCACGGCCCUGUUUUCAUCCGUCGAGGCCAGGGAUAGAGCAGCUACGGGAACACGUCUCGCUCAACGCUUCCAGGAAAAAUGACAGGCCGGAGAAGCAAAAGAAAGGAAAGAAACAAGUAAAGCAAUGACAUCACAGCAGAAUGUAAAUAUCUUAACAUAGGUACGUCAGAGAGUUCCAAGGCCGAGUUUUCUAAUCACGUUUCCUUCAGGAUCGAUCGCAACCCCGCCAACGCAAAUGGUCAAGAAGUUUGGAUCAGAAAACAGAAGAGAACUAAAAGUUACUGUGCUCCAACCCAGCAAGAAUUCACACCCAUUUUUUUUUUUUUUAUGGUCAUGGAUCAUGGGAUUACACCACAAUCUCGCUCUUUGCUUGCUCUUUAAACAUCAGAGCAGUCGGCAGGAUUUGGAGUCGGAUAGUAUAGGUUAUAGACUACCUCUCAACUGUCCCUCAACCAUUCUCAACUUGCUUGAAGAA